UACGUAGGGUGCGAGCGUUAAUCGGAAUUACUGGGCGUAAAGCGUGCGCAGGCGGUUUUGUAAGCCAGAUGUGAAAUCCCCGGGCUCAACCUGGGAAUGGCAUUUGGGACUGCAAGGCUCGAGUGCGGCAGAGGAGACUGGAAUUCCUGGUGUAGCAGUGAAAUGCGUAGAUAUCAGGAGGAAUACCGAUGGCGAAGGCAGGUCACUGGGCCGCAACUGACGCUGAGGAGCGAAAGCAUGGGGAGCGAACGGG
rnacentral:rRNA from 1 species